GCGAAGCGAUCCUAAUGAACUUUCUGUUCAUCGCCGCCUCUUCUUAGGCAUCCCUACCACCAUCGAGCACUAUGACUACUUCGCCAUGGCUGUCACCAAGGGUGUUCAGCAUUUUCAUCACUGGCAGGAUACUACUGUCAGGAUCAGCAAUUCCUCAUCAUCCUAUCUGCCACCGCCUCCAGCGGCCAAGAAGAAGAAGAAUCAUCCAAUGAUGGCAGCAAAGAAAACUCCAUGGAUAGCCAGAGGCC
rnacentral:lncRNA from 1 species